rnacentral:lncRNA from 1 species
AUAUUGACGAAGUUCGGAAGAAGUUCGGAGUAGGAUCAUCCGCGGUCGGAAGAAGUCUGAAAAGGAUUCGGAGAAUAGUUGAUCACUGUAUAAGGUCGGCUGAUAGUGAGGCCCAGAGAGCCUUUGGAGUGGCCCGGUAGAUGAAUGGAGAAGCUUAUUGUCGGAGAAGUCCGGAUGAUAUUAUGGAAGCUCGGACGGUCGAGGGGGUUCAGAAAGAUGCCACAU